UACGUAGGGGGCAAGCGUUGUCCGGAUUUAUUGGGCGUAAAGAGCGUGUAGGCGGCCAGACAGGUCCGUUGUGAAAACUCUAGGCUCAACCUAGAGACGCCACCUGAUACUGCUGUGGCUAGGAGUCCGGUAGGGGAGCAUGGAAUUCCUGGUGUAGCGGUGAAAUGCGCAAGAUAUCAGGAGGAACACCAGUGGCGGAAGGCGGUGCUCUGGGCCG
rnacentral:rRNA from 1 species